rnacentral:rRNA from 1 species
GACGUAGGAGGCGAGCGUUGUCCGGAUUCAUUGGGCGUAAAGAGCACGCAGGCGGUUCGGCAAGUCGGAUGUGAAAUCUAUGGGCUCAACCCAUAGUCUGCAUCGGAAACUGUCGGACUUGAGUAUGGGAGAGGUGAGUGGAAUUUCCGGUGUAGCGGUGGAAUGCGUAGAGAUCCGGAGGAAGACCGGUGGCGAAGGCGGUCUGACUGGGCAGUUUCUGACACUGAGG